UACGUAGGGUGCGAGCGUUAAUCGGAAUUACUGGGCGUAAAGCGUGCGCAGGCGGUUCGUUGUGUCGGCGGUGAAAGCCCCGGGCUCAGCCUGGGAAUGGCCGUUGAAACUGGCGAACUGGAGUGUGGCAGAGGGGGGUGGAAUUCCGCGUGUAGCAGUGAAAUGCGUAGAGAUGCGGAGGAACACCGAUGGCGAAGGCAGCCCCCUGGGCUGACACUGACGCUCAGGCACGAAAGCGUGGGGAGCAAACAGG
rnacentral:rRNA from 1 species